rnacentral:rRNA from 1 species
AUUGAACGCUGGCGGCAGGCCUAACACAUGCAAGUCGAGCGAGCGGCGGACGGGUGAGUAAUGUAUGGGGACUGCCCGAUCGAGGGGGAUAACUACUGGAAACGGUGGCUACUACCGCAUACUAUCGGAUAACCCAUAUGGGAUUAGCUAGUAGGUGGGGUAAAGGCUCAUCUAGGCGACGAUCUCUAGCUGGUCUGAGAGGAGGAUCGGCCACACUGGGACUGAGACACGGCCCAGACUCCGACGGAGGCAGCAGUGGGGAAUAUUGGGCAAUGGGCGCAAGCCUGAUGCAGCCAUGCCGCGUGUAUGAAGAAGGCCUUAGGGUUGUAAAGUACUUUCAGCGGAGAGGCGUUACCCGCAGAAGAAGCAACGGCUAACUCCGUGCCAGCCGCCGCGGUAAUAC